GAUGAACGCUGGCGGCGUGCCUAAUACAUGCAAGUCGAGCGAACAGACGAGGAGCUUGCUCCCCUGACGUUAGCGGCGGACGGGUGAUUAACACGUGGAUAACCUACCUAUAAGACUGGGAUAACUUCGGCAAACCGGAGCUAAUACCGGACAAUAUAUUGCACCGCAUGGUUCAAUAGUGAAAGACGGUUUUGCUGUCACUUAUAGACGGAUCCGCGCCGCAUUAGAUAGUUGUUAAUGUAACGGCUUACCAAGGCAACGAUGCGUAGCCGACCUGAGAGGGUGAUCGACCAACCUGGAAGUGAGACACGGGCCAAACUCCUACGGGAGGCAACAGUAGGGAAUCUUCCGCAAUGAACGAAAGACUGACGGAGCAACACCGCGUGAGUGAUGAAGGUGUUAGGAUCGUAAAACUCUGUUAGUAGGGAAGAACAAAUGUGUAAGUAACUAGGAACGUAUUGACGGUACCUAAACAGAAAGCAACGGCUAACUACGUG
rnacentral:rRNA from 1 species